UGGGGAAUAUUGCACAAUGGGCGCAAGCCUGAUGCAGCCAUGCCGCGUGUAUGAAGAAGGCCUUCGGGUUGUAAAGUACUUUCAGCGGGGAGGAAGGGAGUAAAGUUAAUACCUUUGCUCAUUGACGUUACCCGAAGAAGAAGCACCGGCUAACUCCGUGCCAGCAGCCGCGGUAAUACGGAGGGUGCAAGCGUUAAUCGGAAUUACUGGGCGUAAAGCGCACGCAGGCGGUUUGUUAAGUCAGAUGUGAAAUCCCCGGGCUCAACCUGGGAACUGCAUCUGAUACUGGCAAGCUUGAGUCUCGUAGAGGGGGGUAGAAUUCCAGGUGUAGCGGUGAAAUGCGUAGAGAUCUGGAGGAAUACCGGUGGCGAAGGCGGCCCCCUGGACGAAGACUGACGCUCAGGUGCGAAAGCGUGGGGAGCAAACA
rnacentral:rRNA from 1 species